rnacentral:sRNA from 1 species
CCGAGGGCUCCGGAGCGGCGACUGGCGAGCCAUGGCGCUGGGGCUGCAGCGCGCAAGGUCGACCACCGAGCUGCGGAAGGAAAAGUCCCGGGAUGCGGCCCGCAGCCGGCGCAGCCAGGAGACCGAGGUGCUGUACCAGCUGGCUCACACGCUGCCCUUCGCCCGCGGCGUCAGCGCCCACCUGGACAAGGCCUCUAUCAUGCGCCUCACCAUCAGUUACCUGCGCAUGCACCGCCUCUGCGCCGCAGGGGAGUGGAACCAGGUGAGAGCAGGGGGAGAACCACUGGAUGCCUGCUACCUGAAGGCCCUGGAGGGCUUCGUCAUGGUGCUCACCGCCGAGGGAGACAUGGCUUACCUGUCGGAGAAUGUCAGCAAACACCUGGGCCUCAGUCAGCUGGAGCUCAUCGGACACAGCAUCUUUGAUUUCAUCCACCCCUGUGACCAAGAGGAGCUUCAGGACGCCCUGACCCCCCAGCAGACCCUGUCCAGGAGGAAGGUGGAGGCCCCUACGGAGCGGUGCUUCUCCUUGCGCAUGAAGAGUACGCUCACCAGCCGCGGGCGCACCCUCAACCUCAAGGCGGCCACCUGGAAGGUGCUGCACUGCUCUGGACAUAUGAGGGCCUACAAGCCCCCUGCACAGACUUCUCCAGCUGGGAGCCCUGACUCAGAGCCCCCGCUGCAGUGCCUGGUGCUCAUCUGCGAAGCCAUCCCCCACCCAGGCAGCCUGGAGCCCCCGCUGGGCCGAGGGGCCUUCCUCAGCCGCCACAGCCUGGACAUGAAGUUCACCUACUGUGACGACAGGAUCGCAGAAGUGGCUGGCUAUAGUCCCGAUGACCUGAUCGGCUGUUCCGCCUACGAGUACAUCCACGCGCUGGACUCCGAUGCGGUCAGCAAGAGCAUCCACACCUGUAUGUAUCCCAUUUCCCCAGGUGUGAAGCCAGCUGCCGCAUGGCCCCCAGCUGACACCAGGACCCCCCAGCUUCCCACACCCAAGGAUGCACUGCCUCCCCACCUCAACACCAGCUCCCUGCUCCCCAAGCCCCAAGGAACUGUCUCCUUCCUUGCCCCCUCAUACCCAGUCCCCAGGUCUUUCUUUUCCCAUUCACCCCCUUGGCGGCCCUGACCCCUCCCGAUCCCCCUCCUCAGUGCUGAGCAAGGGCCAGGCAGUAACAGGGCAGUAUCGCUUCCUGGCCCGGAGCGGUGGCUACCUGUGGACCCAGACCCAGGCCACAGUGGUGUCAGGGGGACGGGGCCCCCAGUCGGAGAGUAUCGUCUGUGUCCAUUUUUUAAUCAGGUAAGCAGGAGGAGGGGUUGGGGUGGCUGUGUGGGCCUGAUCUGCACGUGUGGACAGGUGUAUGUGUGUGUGUGUGCAUAUGAGCAUGCAUGCGUAUCAUGCAUAAGUGUAUGUGAGGGAGUGUGCAUGUGUACACAUAUGAGGAAUGUGUGUCACCAUGUCAAUGCCGGUGUAUGUGUCUGCAUGGACACAGGUAUGUGUAUGGGUGUGUAGACUGUUAAUUUUUUUUUUUUUUUUUUUUUUUUGCAUGAACCUCUGCUUAAGUGGACUGUUAAUUCAAAUUAGAAACGGCUCUUUAUUUGGCCUGGCAUGGUGGCUCAUGCCUGUAAUCCUAGCACUUUGGGAGGCUGAGGUGGGCGGAUUGCCUGAGCUCCGGAGUUCGAAACCAGCCUGGGCAACAUGACAAAAUGCUCUCUCUACCAAUAAUACCAAAAAUUAGCCGGGUGUGGUGACACAUGCCUGUAAUCCCAACCACUCGGGAGGCUGAGGCACGUGAAUCAUUAGACCCCAGGUGGUGGAGGUUGCAGUGAGCCAAGAUUGCGUCAGUGCACUCUGGCCUCGGCGACAGAGUGAGGCUCUGUCUCAAACAAACAAACAAACAAAAGGACCCUAUAUUCUAGUUAAAAUAAGAAGUGUAACAGAAUCAUGGGGUCUUUUUUGCUUUUUAAAAUUUGAUGUGGCUCACGCCU